GACGAACGCUGGCGGCGUGCUUAACACAUGCAAGUCGAACGGUAAGGCCCUUCGGGGUACACGAGUGGCGAACGGGUGAGUAACACGUGGGUGAUCUGCCCUGCACUUCGGGAUAAGCCUGGGCAACUGGGUCUAAUACCGGAUAGGACCACUGCCUGCAUGGGUGGUGGGGGAAAGCUUUUGCGGUGUGGGAUGGGCCCGCGGCCUAUCAGCUUGUUGGUGGGGUGACGGCCUACCAAGGCGACGACGGGUAGCCGGCCUGAGAGGGUGACCGGCCACACUGGGACUGAGAUACGGCCCAGACUCCUACGGGAGGCAGCAGUGGGGAAUAUUGCACAAUGGGCGCAAGCCUGAUGCAGCGACGCCGCGUGAGGGAUGACGGCCUUCGGGUUGAAAACCUCUUUCAGCACCGACGAAGCGCAAGUGACGGUAGGUGCAGAAGAAGGACCGGCCAACUACGUGCCAGCCGCCGCGGUAA
rnacentral:rRNA from 1 species